UACGUAGGGGGCAAGCGUUGUCCGGACUUAUUGGGCGUAAAGAGCGCGUAGGCGGUCCGGCACGUCGGUUGUGAAAGUCGGGGGCUCAACCCUCGGAUGCCGAUCGAUACUGUCGGGCUAGAGUCCGGAAGAGGCGAGUGGAAUUCCUGGUGUAGCGGUGAAAUGCGUAGAUAUCGAGAGGAACACCUGAGGUGAAGACGGGUUGCUGGGCCGACACUGACGCUGACAGCGCGAAAGCCAGGGGAGCAAACGGG
rnacentral:rRNA from 1 species